GACGAACGCUGGCGGCGUGCUUAACACAUGCAAGUCGAACGGUAAGGCCCUUCGGGGUACACGAGUGGCGAACGGGUGAGUAACACGUGGGUGAUCUGCCCUGCACUUCGGGAUAAGCCUGGGAAACUGGGUCUAAUACCGGAUAGGACUCCUGGCUUCAUGGUUGGGGGUGGAAAGCUUUUGCGGUGUGGGAUGGGCCCGCGGCCUAUCAGCUGGUUGGUGGGGUAAUGGCCUACCAAGGCGACGACGGGUAGCCGGCCUGGGAGGGGGACCGGCCACACUGGGACUGAGACACGGCCCAGACUCCUACGGGAGGCAGCAGUGGGGAAUAUUGCACAAUGGGCGCAAGCCUGAUGCAGCAACGCCGCGUGAGGGAUGACGGCCUUCGGGUUGUAAACCUCUUUUAGUAGGGAAGAAGCGAAAGUGACGGUACCUGCAGAAGAAGCACCGGCUAACUACGUGCCAGCCGCCGCGGUAA
rnacentral:rRNA from 1 species